rnacentral:lncRNA from 1 species
UCUUGACAUGUUGUGCCUGGUACUAAUCAUUGCUAGGAAAAUAUUUGUUUAAUAUUAUAAAUAUAUCUUAAAGACAGUGACAAACCAAUGAAGGAUUUUAAUACAAUACAAAGAAUUAUUAUAAGUAUGAAUUUGAACAACAGGGAGAUAAGUUAAAAGUCUAUUUCAGUAGUCUAAGAUGGAAAUAAAUUCUGCAUUUCUUUUAUCUGGGCAUUUAGGUUCAUGAUAAGAAUUUUUGUGAACUAGGUCUUUAGGUAUAAAUUUAUAUCUGCAUUUAUGUAUACAUUUCUGUAUAAGCAAGUGAUGAGCAGUAUAUGGCCUAUGAGAAAUAGUAUACAUGCUUUAGGGGAAGUCAUUCAUCUAACAGGUGAGAAAAUUCAUCCAAGCCUUCUCCAUUGGACUUCAUCCCCUAGUACAGUCAGCUGGUUGUUUCUGGCAGACAGAAGAUGAAGUUCAGUGAAUUAUUGGUUAAAUAACAUUUAUAUCUUUCUCAGGGCUAUAAUGAAAAAUAAAAUGAAAAGAAAUACUCUAUGUAUAUUUAUCAGAGUCUAGGCAUUGAUACAGAAGAUGUAAUUCCAAUUUUAAAAGGGAGAAGAAGACUGUAUAAUGAAUUGGUCACAGAAGAACUGAAAGAUUAGAAUAGCAAAAUGGAGAUGGGAGUGGCAAGUUUGGGAAAGAAAAUUAUAUUGGUGGCCCCACAAGUCUGCCCCUGUUUCUGUGCUGUUGGAGAUGCCUUUGCAGUCAGUCCUGAAUCACCUCUCUCAAGGCUUAAAUUGCUGCAAAAGGGAAUGAUUGUUCUCAGGCUCCCCUAAUGUCAGCUCAGCUAACAUUAUAGCCACUACUAGGAAGUACUAUACUGCUGGUACCAGAGACAGAAUAUUCCCCUAUUUUUUUUCCCUGCUUCUCAUUUCCUUCCUAAACAUUUUCUCCUCUAUCAAGAUCACAUUCUACAUAGAAUUUUGAAUUAAUGUUCACCUAACAUUUUGAAUGGCUAUUAUGUAAGUAUGAAAUAAUUUACUUUUUAAUUUUCCUAAAUUUUGGUAAUUAAAUCGGUCCUAUUUUUUUGCUACCAUAAAGUCUUUGGUAAGCAUCUUUGCUUGCAAGCAUUGUUUCGUCUCAGAUAAUUGUUUUAAGAGUGGGUCUUAGAAGUGUAAAAACUGUUACAGUAUCCUUAAGACUGUUUUGUUGGUUACCAAAAUAGAUUGAUUCCAAAGUUUUAUAACUGUAAUGUAUUUCCACCAAAUAUGGCAUUUCAUUACUCUUUCACUAGCAUACAUUAUUUUUUUCUCUUUUCUCCACACCCUUUGCUCUCUUUCUUCCUCUCUGACUAUAUAUAUUUUAUUUACUAAUUCCAUAUUUUCUUAGUAUUCAGUAUUUUUUACAAAGUCUUUUUAGUGGAGGAAUCCUAUAGAGCUCUACUUUCUCAUAUCUUUACCAAGUUUAUCCUAGUAACUAGAGUUUAUAUAUUUUGUCUAAUGCCUGUCUAUAAAAUUUUAUUUCAAAUAUCUUAAAUUGUCUGACUGUUCCAAAUGUUAGACUUCACUGUCAUAAAUUUAUAAAAAAUAUUUCUUUUGUAUUAAAAAUAAUUUUCAAGGCCAUUAAUUAUAAUGAUGAUGAUGAUUGUCAUUUGUAGAAGACUGUGUUACUCUAAUGACACUUGAUUGGAGGUAUUUUUGGAGGUAGUGAAAGGGAUGCUAGGGUUGCAAAAAAACAAAUUCCUCCUAAUAGCUUGGCUUUCAUCCCAGAACUGCAAGGGAAUAUCCCCAAUCAAGUUUCAAACACAACUGAUGGUUUGCUGCUAUUAUAUAAUAGGUAACAUUUCCCUGCCUGUGGAUACAAUUCAAAAUAGGAUAAAUCAAUCCUCAGUUAUAGGAUAAAAUAUUUUGCUAAUUGUAUUUCCUGUACCUAUCAGUGAUGAGUGCUUUUUGUCUCUUUGUUUAUUUUCCUUCUGUAAACACUAUGAAACCCAUUCUUAUUUUGACAAAUACGUUAGACUUGGUUUUACCUAUGUAAACUUGGGUAAAAUAUUAUGACUUGGAAUCAGGAGUUUUUAGUCAUUUAUGUUUGUAAUGAAAAGGGAUUUUUGCUGAAGUUUAAAGAUUUCUUGACUGAUUUUUAUAGAGACUAUAGUUGAACCAGCCAAAGUUAAAUCAAUUGUAUAAUUUAGGACAAUAGAAAUGGGUGCUGGUUUAGUAAUUACCUUAACAUUUUACAAAUGGUAGAUGCCAUUUGUAAAUGGUAGAUGCCAUGGUGUUUAGAAAUGUAUAGACCUGUUAAUCGCAACUAUUAAGUAGUAUAUUUUCCUGGGAAACUAGAAUCCUCAAAUAUUGGAUGCUAUUAUGAAUAUAGAGGGUGAAGGCAGAAACCAUGGAUAAUAUUCAGUGUUCAGAAAUUGAACUGAGAUAUUGAAGUCAACAAAGAAAGAGAGUAAAAUAUUACUAUAAAACUUCUUAAAUAUGUUUUACAACCACGCAGAGAUGAUAAAAUGUGAAGCUAAGAAGUUUAUAACUGAGCAUCACCAUAAAAAUUAAAUAUAGUUUCUGUACCCUUAUUUUUUCAGAGAAGAAACUAAAGGUCUGUAAGAUUAUCAAAUAACGUAUCCAUAAAAGUAAAAUCCAUUGGAGAAAAAUAAUAUCCUGAGAAAAGAGCUGGUUUAAGUGAAGAAGCAUGUUACCACUUAAAGAUUAAGAAUGGUGGAAUUCAAAAGCAUAUGGUGAGGAUUCCACUAGAUACAAAAAGGCUUAAUCAUUAAAGCUUAGUUAAAUAUGUUUGAGAUGAGUAUUUGAAUAGAAUAGGAGAUUAAGAAAUUGACCCCUUAUGACUAUCGUUGUUUGGAAGUGAGAUAGGCAAGGCUGUUUUAAAACAGAUAUUUCCCACGCUACCCUUUCCAGAUAGUAAUAAAGGGGAACAACGUUAGUGUGGAAAAAAUAACACUCUCCCAGAACAAUGUUAAUAGGGAAAGCAUAGCAACACUCUCCCAGAAAUUUGAGAAUAAUUGCCAAGUUGUAAAAUGUAUCCUUUGUCUUUUGUUCUACUUCUAUAAAUCUAAGCAACAGGCUUACCUGUGUAAGUGGGCAAAAACCUAUAUCAAUAACAUUCACUGACCAAUUUGUAUAAUUACUAUAUUAAAAACACUAUAAUAUCCAUUGUUAGGAAAAAAAACUAAUUGUCAAAUAGAUGCACAAUCAUUAACUAAACUGUGUAGUAUUUAUGCCUACCACCGUUGCAGGAGUACCAAAAUAUAUUGACAGGUAAAUAAAUCCAGUGAAACUCAUUGCAUACCAUAUGGUCUUAUUUAUUUUUUUGAAAAGAAAAUGUACAUGUGAAUGUCUAUUUGCAGAGUUCUUGCUGUGGCAUAGCAGGUUUAGGAUCCAGCUUUGUCUCUGCAGUAGCUUGGGUCACUUCUGAGACACAUGUUUGAUCCCUGUAUUGGCGUAGUCGGUUAAGGAUCCAGCAUUGCCACAGUUGCAGUUUAGGUCGGAGCUACAGCUUGGACUUGAUUUCUGGCCUGGGGACUUCCAUAUGACACAGGUGCAGCCAAAAAAAAAUCCUGACUUGAUCAUAAAUGAUGUUCUGCCUACAACUGUUAUAUCUGCCUGCUGUCUUGCUAGGGGCUCUCCUGUCCCCUCCUACAUUCACCCCCCAUUUCCAAGGAGUAUGGAUAGCAAAUUGACAACUCAUGGAUGUGCUCUAAUGAUUCUCUGCAUAGAUACAUUGCUAGAGAUUGCUGUACCAGGCUUAGGACACUGUCAGCAGGAGGCACAGAUGCUGCCUCUAUGUCCUACCUAGAGCAUAAUUAAACCAGCUAUAGGACAAAUAAUUAUCAUAAGCUCUAUCAUCAAGGACUCGACUCUAGAAAAAAACUUGAGGUCCCAGAAACUGGAUUACAUCCAUUAGAAUAGUCACAAGACCUAAUCUAAGACAAGGGUGUGUUUCUUUUUUUUUUUUUUUAACUUUUUAUAUAAUGAUUUUUAUUUAUUUUUUUCAUUAUGACUAGUUUACCGUGUUCUGUCAAUUUACUACCAUACAAUGUAUACAGAGAAGCUGGGAAUAUUUCAGCUGGUGGCUAACUUGACCUGUGUUAUUGUCAUCUUGCUGUGUGAGGAUACUGCUGGUUCUCCAAUGCAAGGGCCCUUCAUUCCAUGAAGCAAAUCUUUUUUUUCACUAGAGGACUGAAAGAAAAUAGAAAUCUUCUGCCAUAAAUCUGUAUUGGCCCUCCUCCACUCAGACGUUAUUUUUGUCAGAAGGCUCAAAGCUGGGGAGAAGGAAGGUGACUGAUCUAGAAUUGAUAGUGGUAGAAAUUUAAAUGAGCUACAUUAUGGGAUUCUUGGAUGAAUAGAGACAGAAAGAAAAAGCUUUAAAACUUGACAGACACAAUAGUCAAGAGACUAUUAAAACACAAUCAAGUAGAAAGAAAGAAAAUGGAAGAAUGAGGCUAUCUGUGUCAAAAUAAUAGGUUUGGGUUAGUAGGUUAAUAGAGUUUCAGGUUUCAACUUUAAAGCAGUUCUUGUUGAUAGGAGAGUUCAGAGUACAGUGACCAAAAUAGGUGUUUCAAAGAGUGAUGUGAGAGGCCAUUUAUUUUUAGGGAAUUUAGAAACUCUUGGGCUGAGAUAUUAAAAUUGCUCAAGAUCAAAAUAAGAAGAAAAAUACUUGGUUUCAUUUUCUUGAACCAUUUAAGAAUGUGAUCUGUUAGUCAAUAGAAAACACAACAAAAAGUGUUGGGUUAGGCAUAAUAUUGUCUGAAGACCUUAGUAUGGACUGGCUAUAUACACUAAUUUGGACUUAGAGAAAGAGCACUCCCACUACAAAACACCGUUGACAGUGUGAGUUUGAGGGUGAACCUCUUAAAAUUACUACAAAGUUGUACUUAGGAAAAGAGCCAGUCAUGAAUUUAAGCAGGAUGAUACAGGACCAGUCCUUUGAAGAAGCAAACUGUAGAGGUGGUGUUUACUUAAAGACUCCAAAAGACCAGAUAGUGCUCCUGGCAUGCAAUGAGUAAAAUUGAGGUUGCAAGAAUAUGUGGAAAAAGAGUCCUUUAAGAAAUAAUCAUAGCCGUGGAGGUGAAAAGCAGCAUGCUCCCAGUCUAAGGAUUCUGAAGCUAAGUUAAUAAAGUCAUUUCGACUAGUUCUUGUGGGGUUAAGUUGCUACUUUUUCAACUCGGCUUACACCAAAACCCAAGGUGAAAUGGCCAGGACACAAUAACAAGAAGUAAGGGAAAUGAGUCAAAGUGUUAGUAGUAAAUAGGCAAUUUUAAUUAUAGAGGUGCAUCAGCGUCUCCAAGCUACCAGAUGAGAGUUAGAUUUUAGUUUAUGAAAGUUUUGAUAGCAAUUGGAGGAUGAACAUGUCAAAGUGAAUAAGGACAUAAAAAGCUAGAUAAAGUAGGCAGUGGUGUUAUGGAAUAAAUAACCUUUAGAUGGAGAGGUAGAGGUGGAGAAGAAGCUCCUAUUUGGCCACUUGUGGCAGAUGUACUCCCCCUUAGCACAGCCGAUUUCACACCAACUGUAAUAGACAAUUCUGUGCACAUUGCCGGAAUCCCACCAAAGCACACUCGGCAGAACGUUUAUGCUUUUCUGCCUCUGACUCGCUGUUGUCGCAAUGUCUCUGAGCACAGAUAUAUAAAGGCUGUUGUGAGUGGGGUUGGAGGUUAAUGCUUCCAAAGACCAUUUUCAACUAAUGGAGGGAAAAGGUCUGUAGAUAAUUUCAAACUCCUUUUCUUUCAGGGUGACCAUUCUGAGGUGGAUUCUGCAAGAUUCCUGAGAGGGUCUUCACAAAUCUCCAAAGGGAUUGAUUUCCAUUGCCCAAAUGAGCAGUAAGCUCAGUGAGGCACACAUUAUCGGCUUUCAGCUUCCCCAUUCCCUCACUUUUCCCUUUCCUUCCUGGAAUUAACUCUUAAUUAUCUACACCAAAUCCUUAUGCCAGGCUCUGCUUUAAGAAAUCCAAAUUAAGACAGUACUUCAUUUAUUUUCUCAGUAAACACCUUAGUAAUGGGAAUUUGUGGAUAAUGAAGAUUGUGUGGAAUAGAAAAUGGUAGUGAAUGUUCCAGGAAAAUUGAUUAGCAGUGGGUUAUAGUGAAGAACAACUUUGUAUUUGCUUUCAUAAUGAGACAGUUCCUUGGAUCAGUUUUCUCUCAUGUGUGAUAUGCUUAGAUUUCAUUGUUCUGGGAUUGUUAUCUAUGGAAUCUCACUUAUUCAUCCUCAUAAAUUCUUGGAAACAUUCACAGCACUAGGAUUAAAGGAAAGAUGAGAGUGGAUAACUUGAUAAGGCAGAAAAAACAAUUUUGAAGAAUAACAGGAGGGAGUUGGGAGGGACCAGAAGACAAUUCUACGAGUCAUCACCUCUCCUUUGUCACUUUAUCCUAACAUUUUUAUGUUAACUUUUUUCU